GGUGAACGCUGGCGGCGUGCCUAAUACAUGCAAGUCGAGCGAACGGACGAGAAGCUUGCUUUUCUGAUGUUAGCGGCGGACGGGUGAGUAACACGUGGAUAACCUACCUAUAAGACUGGGAUAACUUCGGGAAACCGGAGCUAAUACCGGAUAAUAUUUUGAACCGCAUGGUUCAAAAGUGAAAGACGGUCUUGCUGUCACUUAUAGAUGGAUCCGCGCUGCAUUAGCUAGUUGGUAAGGUAACGGCUUACCAAGGCAACGAUGCAUAGCCGACCUGAGAGGGUGAUCGGCCACACUGGAACUGAGACACGGUCCAGACUCCUACGGGAGGCAGAAGUAGGGAAUCUUCCGCAAUGGGCGAAAGCCUGACGGAGCAACGCCGCGUGAGUGAUGAAGGUCUUCGGAUCGUAAAACUCUGUUAUUAGGGAAGAACAUAUGUGUAAGUAACUGUGCACAUCUUGACGGUACCUAAUCAGAAAGCCACGGCUAACUACGUG
rnacentral:rRNA from 1 species